CCAUGCCAGGGGUGCCCAGCCAGGACAGCUAACAUUGUGUGGCACAGUACAUGGUGGCAGAGGGGGCCUGUUCAUUUCCUGGUGUCCAGGAAGCAAACAGAGGAAAGAGCACAGUUCCCAAUGUCCCCUUCCAAGCCAUGCCCCCAUGACCUCACUUCCUCUCAGUAGGUCCCACCCUGUAAAGGCUUCAGCCCUUUCCAGUAACACCAACCAGAGCUUUAACCCACAGCCUUCAGGGUAGCUUAAAAUCUGAACCAUCGCCAUGCUCGGAUGCAGAAUGUACCGUGUUAAAUGUGCUAUAAGUUAUUCCUAUGCAGGAGGGAAUGCAGAAGGGGAAUAAUCACUGGCGACUUCAGCCAGGCUGUUAGGCAAGAGGUCAGACUGCAUAAAAGCACACGUAAUCGCUUGGGCGAUAAAGAGUUCAAAGAAGGCAACGGGAGCCUCAUGGGACAGGACACGUGACUGGUGCUAAACGAAGGUACCGAAUGCGUGAGUGAAUGGGUCCGCCCAGGAGUGGCUGGACAGGCUUCAAGGAAGAUGGAAGAGGUCAGCGCAGUAGAAGACAGGUGCUGGGAAGGAGCCAGUGAAGGAGGGCCUGCUGUAUGGCAGCGGAAAUGCACCUCCUCCGGAGGAUCCAGGAUGGUGUGUGUGAGGUUCGGAUGCGACAUACAGACCUCUGCAGGAACUUCCGGACAAUUCAUUAAUCUCAGCUCUUCAGCGCCCCCGACUGGAUGCUGAAUCCGCCUCUGCGGGUGUCCUUCCUCUGAGAAUCAUCCCCCUCUGUGGGAAGCCGCCGCUUUCUCCUCUCUUAGCCUUUGGCAGGAGAAAGCUAUGCGGGAAGGCUAGCAAAUGGAUUAUUCAUAACUUUUGAUAACACAGCCAUUAAAGCGUUCUGCUUGAUGAAUGUGCAUUGCUGUGCCUCUCCCUUACUCUGCAGUUAGGGCUCACGAGAGUAACAGACCG
rnacentral:lncRNA from 1 species